GGAGAGGGUGAGAGAGGGAGAGUUGGCUCAAGAGAAGUAGAGAAGUUAGAAGAAAAAAAAAAAAAAGAAGAGAAAAAGAAGGAAUCAAAGGUGAAGAAAUGCAGAUACACAAAUCUAGGAUGACGUUGGCUGAUGAUGUCAACUUAGAAGAAUUUGUUAUGACCAAGGAUGAGUUUUCUGGAGCCGAUAGAAAGGCAAUAUGUACUGAAGCUGGUUUACUUGCUCUAAGAGAGCGCCGUAUGAAGGUUACGCAUUCAGACUUCAAGAAGGCUAAAGAUAAGGUCAUGUUCAAGAAGAAAGAGGGGGUGCCAGAAGGACUCUAUAUGUGAAAAUACUCUGUUCUCUAUGCAUAUAGGCAUUUGUUUUGCUUGCUUUUAGACUCCCAUUUCUGUGCUUCUAUACUGUUGAAUAUUUCGCUAUGAGAUAUAUUGCCAUCUCAUGUGGGAUGAUGAUGGUAGUUUCUGCAAGGACAACGUUCUGGUUAAGUCAGUUGCCGCUUAAUCAAUGAACUCAUUUCCUUUUGGCAGAUUUUCAUGUCA